UGCACACAGCGAAAAAACAAAUCAGUACUUUUGCUUUAGCUUCUAAACCUAGCGGCCAAAAUAUCAAGUGGUAACCGGCAGAAGAAUUUAAGCUACCGGUCGAUUGCCUGGAUCGGUUUCCUAUAAAGUAUUCCAAGCAUUCACCAUAAUCAUCUUUGCUUAAGUUUUAUUUAUCAUUUUCUCUACUUUAAGGUUUUCAACAUUUAUUUUGGGUGUGCGAGCAAUUUCACAGCAGCUCCUGAAAACAUUACAGAUAGCUGUUUACCUUUACUUUAUCGGAAAUGGCUGGUAGAGGACGAAUGCCGCCCCCUCACGCUAGAUUCCUUCCAGGUCCAGGCAUGAUUCAUGAACCUUUCGGUCCUGGAAUGCACCCCCCAGGGCCUCAUCCUCUGGAUGCAUUGCCUCCUGAGUUAUUGGAACAGAGGUUUGCAAUCCAGCAUGGUGAGAUGCAAAGGCUUGCAGCAGAAAAUCAGAGGCUAGCUGCAACUCAUGUAGCUCUUAGACAAGAUCUUGCUAUUUCACAACAAGAGAUUCAGAGGAUGCAUGCUCACAUGGGAGCUUUUCAGAAUGACAAAGAGCAGCAAGUUAGGGGUUUGAUGGACAAAAUUGCAAAGAUGGAAGCUGAUCUUCAAGCUACAGAGUCCAUGAAAGUUGAUUUGCAACAGGCUCGUGCUGAUGCACAAAGUUUGAUGACAAUGAGACAAGAAUUGACAGCUCAAGUGCAAGAGCUUAAUCUGGAAUUGCAGAGAUGCCAUGCAGAUGUACAGCAGAUCCCUGCUAUGCAUGCUGAGUUGGACAGUCUGAGGCAAGAGUUUCAGCGAGCAAGGACUGCAUAUGAUUAUGAGAAGGCAGCAAAUAGUGAACAAGUGCAACAACUACAGUCAAUGGAAAAGAACUUUAUUUCCAUGGCAAGAGAAGUGGAGAGGUUACGUGCUGAGCUGGCUAAUGUUGACAAGAGAGGGAGUGCUGCAGCUUAUGGUGCUAGUUUUAAAGAUCCUGAUGCUCGUGAAGCUCGUGAAUCUCGUGGACCCAACAUGUAUGGAGAUGGCUAUGGGAUUCCUCAGAUGGCUGUUGCACCUGGAAGUGGUGCUGCCUAUGGCCCUGGGCCUACUUCGGGCAGGGGGGGAUAUGAUAUGCCUCGUGGAGGUGGUUCACAGAUGCCAGUUCCACCUGUGAAUGGUGCUCCAUAUGGUUCUGGCCAUACUCCUCCUGGCCGGGUGGGAUAUGAUGUACCUCGAAGUGGUGUUUCUCAUGUUCGGAGAUGAGCUAGCCCCAAUAAGGGACAUCUUGAGUAGAAGAUUUUAGUGAGGAUCAGUUACUUUUAGGUUGAAGGUACUUGAAAUUUCCAUCAAAGAUUUAGAUUUGAGAUCCCUCAGUGCAGCAGUGCAUGUCUUGAUAUGUGAACCAGCCCGGGAAGAAUAUUAGCUGCGUGCACACAUGUACGUGUUGUUUAAUGCUGGAGAGUUUGGGUAUUUGUUGCAUCCAGAUGGUGUUCAAGAUGCUCAUAAAAAGUAUGUCAUAAUGCAGCAUCCUUCAUAUGAUGGCGUUUAUCUCCAGCCAGGAUGCUGCUGCGAGAGUGACAUAUCUCUAGUUCUAGCAUGCACAGCCAUUGCAAAGACAGCAAUCUGACAAAGAAGACAAUAGUGUUAAAUGGCGUUCAAAUGCAUCGAGCUCUUCAAUUGGAUGAUAUGUUUAUCAUAUUGUUCAUGUGUAGGAUCUUGUUUCUAAACAGAUAUUCAUCUGUCUAGAGCAGUAAAUUAGUGAAUUUUGAUUGUAAUGUAUCAUGAGAUUAGAUUCAUCAGGUAUCUCAUGGGUUGAUGUUGUUUUUGUACAUUUGUCAUUAAAUACAGGUAACAAAUGCUAAUGCAGUAAAAAGCUAGCAUUUGCUCACUUAUUUAUCUGCCAAAGUAUUUUAUCAUAUCAACAAACAGGCACGUAUGAACCAGAAUAUUGUUCAUUUGAAGUUGGUACAACCA